GCACUUUGGAGGCACACAUACUAAAAUUAGAAUGAUACAGGUAGAUUAGCAUGGCCCUUGUGCAAGGACGACAUGCAAAUUCAUUAUGCAUUCCAUAUUUUC
ensembl:snRNA U6 U6 spliceosomal RNA